rnacentral:misc_RNA from 1 species
UAGAAUUUUUAGUCCGUAUCUAAAUAGUAUAUUAAAUAUGGUCAACGAAAAUGAGAGAGAGGGAGCGUGAAGACGGCCAUUUCCUAUUACACCAUUGAAUAGAAAGAAAUAAGACUAAUCGUCAUCGCGUCCUAUUUUAUUCAUUUCUGUCGAAAGCCAGUGUGUGUGCCAGUUUGACACAUGAUGUACACACGGCAUAUAUAGUCUACAGAUCAUGUCUACAGAUCUUUGGAGAGCAAUACAUCGGGAGAAGAGAAAGAAGAUCGAUGCAGAGAGAAAGCUCGGUGUGCCUUAUCAUCGGGACGCGAAGGAAUAUGGUGGAAAAGGAAAGGGAGAGAAGGGGAAAGACCUCGCCAUAUUUAAAUCCCCAUAAUUAAGUUCAAGAAAUGGAAGCCGGCCAUUCAUCUCGACAAUCGCUACAGAUUGAUGAGACAGGAACCGAUG